rnacentral:rRNA from 1 species
AGAGAGAGACAUGCGCGCAUAUCAAUAAGCGGAGGAAAAGAAACUAACAAGGAUUCCCUUAGUAACGGCGAGUGAAGCGGGAAGAGCUCAAAUUUGAAAUCUUCAAGGUUUUACCUUGACGAAUUGUAGUUUAAAGAAGUGUUUUCUGCUGAAGUUUUGGUAAAAGUUCUUUGGAAUAGGACAUCAUAGAGGGUGAGAAUCCCGUAUUUGACCAUUAUUUUCAGCUUUGUGAUACACUUUCAAAGAGUCGGAUUGUUUGGGAAUGCAGUCCAAAAUGGGUGGUAAAUUUCAUCUAAAGCUAAAUAUUGGCGAGAGACCGAUAGCGAACAAGUACCGUGAGGGAAAGAUGAAAAGAACUUUGAAAAGAGAGUUAAACAGUACGUGAAAUUGUCAAAAGGGAAGCGUUUGACACCAGUGUUGUUUUCUCGAAAAUCAAUUAAAAAUGGCUCGAUUUUGUAUUGCUGAGACCUUAAAAGCUCACUGUACAUUUUUCGUGUCUUUUUUAAUGCACUUUUCGUUUAACAAGUCAACAUCAGUUUCUUUUGUUGUAAAAGGGUCAUUGGAAGGUGGCUUUCUUUUCGGAGAAAGUGUUUAUAGCCUUUGGCCUCUGCAAUCGGAGAGAUUGAGGUCUGCAGCGUAGAUCCUUCGGGGUUAGAUACAUUUGUGCUAAGUUAUAGCCUUUUCAUAGACAACUUGUUGACUAUAAUCAGUCAUGUAGCUUACUCGCUUAUGCUAUUUUACCUACGCUUAGGAUGUUGAGUCGUAGAGCACGCAG